UGGGCGCAAGCCUGAUGCAGCCAUGCCGCGUGUGUGAAGAAGGCCUUCGGGUUGUAAAAGCACUUUCAGUCGUGAGGAAGGUAGUGUAGUUAAUAGCUGCAUUAUUUGACGUUAGCGACAGAAGAAGCACCGGCUAACUCCGUGCCAGCAGCCGCGGUAAUACGGAGGUGCGAGCGUUAAUCGGAAUUACUGGCGUAAAGCGCAUGCAGGUGGUUUGUUAAGUCAGAUGUGAAAAAGCCCGGGGCUCAAACCUCGGAAAUAGCAUUUGAAAACUGGCAGACUAGAGUACUGUAGAGGGGUAGAAUUUCAGGUGUAGCGGUGAAAAUGCGUAGAGAUCUGAAGGAAUACCGGUGGCGAAGGCGGCCCCUGGACAGAUACUGACACUCAGAUGCGAAAGCGUGGGGAGCAAACAGGAUUAGAUACCCCUGGUAG
rnacentral:rRNA from 1 species